GACGAACGCUGGCGGCGUGCUUAACACAUGCAAGUCGAACGGAAAGGUCCUGCUUUUGUGGGGUGCUCGAGUGGCGAACGGGUGAGUAACACGUGAGUAACCUGCCCUUGACUUUGGGAUAACUUCAGGAAACUGGGGCUAAUACCGGAUAGGAGCUCCUGCUGCAUGGUGGGGGUUGGAAAGUUUCGGCGGUUGGGGAUGGACUCGCGGCUUAUCAGCUUGUUGGUGGGGUAGUGGCUUACCAAGGCUUUGACGGGUAGCCGGCCUGAGAGGGUGACCGGCCACAUUGGGACUGAGAUACGGCCCAGACUCCUACGGGAGGCAGCAGUGGGGAAUAUUGCACAAUGGGCGGAAGCCUGAUGCAGCAACGCCGCGUGCGGGAUGACGGCCUUCGGGUUGUAAACCGCUUUCGCUUGUGACGAAGCGUGAGUGACGGUAAUGGGUAAAGAAGCACCGGCUAACUACGUG
rnacentral:rRNA from 1 species